UAUAUUAUUAUUGGAGCUAACUCAGCUAAGAAACAGUGAAGUGAGUCAGCAAACAGAAACCAGAAAUUUACCCAAGCAAGAAAAAAAACAGAAAAGCAAAGCAAAAAUAAAGAACCAAAACACCACUCAACUUGAUUCACACACAGAAAAUAAAGUGAAAUUCUGUGAUCUGAUCAAAUCAAAGCUUUGAUCUUUGCUGUUAAACUAAGCCAAUCUUCCAUCCCUCCCAAUGGGUCGCCUUGUCCUCUUUCUCACUAUCAUCGUCUUCUUCGCAUUCUCUUUCUUCUCAGAGGUAGAAUCAGCGCGGUUCAGGGUUAUUAACAAGUGCCGCCACCCAAUAUGGCCGGGGCUUCUCUCCGGCGCCACCUCGCCGCCGCUACCGACCACCGGCUUCCUCCUCAACGCCGGAAGAUCGAGGACAAUCACCAUCCCAAGGUCCUGGUCGGGUCGGAUUUGGGCGAGGACACUCUGCGGCCAAGACUCCGACGGAAAGUUCUCGUGCGUCACCGCAGACUGCGGCUCCGGCAAGGUGGAGUGUGGUGGCGGGGGAGCAAAGCCGCCGGCAACAUUAGCGGAGUUCACUCUCAACGGAGCUGACGGGCUUGACUUCUAUGACGUGAGCUUGGUCGACGGUUACAACCUUCCGAUGCUGAUCGUGGCUCAGGGAGGGACGAGAGGAGGGUGCAGCGCCACCGGGUGCCUGGUGGACUUGAACGGUGCGUGUCCUUCAGAUCUGAGAGUGGCGCGUGGGAAUGGAACUAAAAGUGGUAGAGGUGGUGGGGUCGCGUGCAGAAGCGCGUGUGAGGCGUUUGGGGACCCAAGGUAUUGUUGCAGUGAGGCUUACUCUACGCCUGACACGUGUGGCCCUUCGGCUUACUCGCUUUACUUCAAACACGCUUGCCCACGCGCGUAUAGCUACGCGUAUGAUGACAAAACCAGCACUUACACGUGUGCUUCCGCUAAUUACUUAAUCAUUUUCUGCCCUUUGCCUUACACCAGCCAAAAGGUGCUUGGAGCAAGAAAAGAUGGCGUGCCGCUUCCUCUGGUAAACAAAACUAUGAUGUACUUAUCAAGGCCACACUCUGGCAGUUCUUCAUCCUCAGGUCCGACCCGAACACAGAGUAUUGUAGCUUAUGUUGUCGCCAUCGCGGUGGCAUUUUUCCUCUUCUGCCCUUGUUUACAUGCCUUAUGAUGACUUCCCUUUUGCAUGGACAAUUCAGGCAGAUAGUGAGGCUCAAUCUUAAUUCUAGCAACUGUAAGAGUUCUUCAAUCUUCAUUAAAGUAUCAAAUGGCUGGUGCUGAUUCCACUCAAUCAUGCAGGACUUGAAGGAUAUGAUGUAGGAAACAUUGUAAAUUUCUUUUAACUUUUUUAUGUCAUAUCGUUUCUUUGACGUUAACAUUGCAAUAUCCUCUAUUCCGAUUUUUAUGAUGAGAGAGGCUUCAAGAGUUUCCAAGUAGUAGUACUCUGGAGUCUGGAGUCUGGAGUCAGAUUUUGCAAGUUAUGAGAGGCUCUAUGGUACUUCAGACUUUAUAUAACUACAACAAAGGACUGUGUACAUUGAAGUUUAUGGAUUGAUGUUUUGUGCAGAGUUCUUCAAUCAGUAUUAAAUUUAAAAUUUAUACGAUAGAAACGCUUGAAGCCAA